rnacentral:rRNA from 1 species
UGCCAGCCGCCGCGGUAAUACAUAGGGGUCAAGCGUUGUCCGGAAUUAUUGGGUUUAAAGGGUCCGGCAGGCUGUUUGUUAAGUCAGGGGUGAAAUCCUACCGCUCAACGGUAGAACUGUCCUUUGAUACUGGCAAACUUGAGUUAUUGUGAAGUAGUUAGAAUGCGUAGUGUAGCGGUGAAAUGCAUAGAUAUUACACAGAAUACCAAUUGCGAAGGCAGAUUACUAACAAUUAACUGACGCUGGGGAAAAAAGGGGGGGGAAGCAAACAGUUUAAAAUC